rnacentral:rRNA from 1 species
CACGUAGGGUGCGAGCGUUGUCCGGAAUUAUUGGGCGUAAAGAGCUCGUAGGCGGUGUGUCGCGUCGGCCGUGAAAACCUGCAGCUUAACUGUGGGCUUGCGGUCGAUACGGGCAUCACUGGAGUUCGGCAGGGGAGACUGGAAUUCCUGGUGUAGCGGUGAAAUGCGCAGAUAUCAGGAGGAACACCGGUGGCGAAGGCGGGUCUCUGGGCCGUAACUGACGCUGAGGAGCGAAAGCGUGGGGAGCAAACAGG